AAAAAAUUAUAAAAAUAAUUAUUUUGUGUUUAGUAGUAAUAGGAGUAAAAUUAAAAAAUAAUAAUAAUACUGUUAACCAUCUCAAGACGACAAAUAAACACUUCAAAAAAAUGAUAGAAAAAGUAAACUGAACGAAUAGCUGUUAAGCUCAUUCUAAAUAUGAGUUUAUUAUAGCCAUACCCCAUCAAAAAUAGCAAAGGGGAAAUAUCAAGAAUAGUUUAUUAAUAUAUGUCAUCAAUUCUACCCGGUUUGAUCCAUUCUGGGAAAAAGAAACAAGGCAGCAUGCAAUUUGGUAUAACUUAUAAUCAACAGUAGGAUUCGAGUCAGGAUGGUGAUGUGAACCAACUCCCACCUCAUCCUAUGCAAGAAAUAAAAAAGAAGGGGCCUUUUUUGGGUACUGAACUGAAUUCAUGUAAUUCUUUAUUUUCUAAAUAAUAAAAAAAAAAAU
rnacentral:misc_RNA from 1 species